GGUCUGAAUCUCUGUGGGAUGUUGAUCAAUGAGAGAGGAACAGCCUGAAAACACGUUUCCCAAGAGGAACGGCAGCUUCGAACUGGCAGAUCAAAUGCUGCUGUGUUUUUCUGAGGUGUCUUAGGAGAAUGAAUCCUCAAAUUGAAAUACGACUCUUUUUUUCAGCUCCUCUGACACCGACAAGAUAAACCGUGUUUUCAGACAGACCAGAGCAAAUAGAAGCACCGCUGACAAUAUUUCUAACAAUCAUCCACUUCAAGUGUCCUCGCUGCUGCCAGCGUUACCAUGGAAACCAGCAUCAGCACCGCAACACCGUCCGUCUCAGUCGUCAGUCUGGAGAUCAUGUCUGAGAUCAGUCAGAAAGCGACGCUCGUGACCCCGAGCUCUGGGUCGUCAUGGUGAGGACGGUGGUGAUGCCGAGCGCGACCCGAGCCGGAGCGGCGUCCAUGUUGAUCCAGAAGGAGACCCAGGAGAGGAUGACGAUGAGGAGGCUGGGGAUGUACAUCUGGAUCAGGUAAUAUCCCAUCUGCCUCUCCAGGUGGAACUUCACCUCGAUACAUGUGAACUUCCCUAAACAUGAGCCGACACAGACAAACACAGA